AACGAACGCUGGCGGCGUGCCUAACACAUGCAAGUCGAACGUGAUUAGAGGGCUUGCUCUCUAUGAAAGUGGCGCACGGGUGAGUAACGCGUAGAUAAUCUACCUGAUGAUCUGGGAUAACACUUCGAAAGGGGUGCUAAUACCGGAUAAGCCCACGGGGUCCUUGGACACUGCGGGAAAAGGAGGGGAUCGCAAGACCUUCCGUCAUCAGAUGAGUCUGCGUACCAUUAGCUAGUUGGUAGGGUAAAGGCCUACCAAGGCGACGAUGGUUAGCUGGUCUGAGAGGAUGAUCAGCCACACUGGAACUGAGACACGGUCCAGACUCCUACGGGAGGCAGCAGUGGGGAAUUUUGCGCAAUGGGGGAAACCCUGACGCAGCAACGCCGCGUGAGUGAUGAAGGCCCUUGGGUCGUAAAGCUCUGACAGAGGGAAAGAAAUGCGGGUGGCUAGUACCCUGUGUGGAUGAUGGUACCGGAAUAAGAAGCACCGGCUAACUACGUGCCAGCAGCCGCCGUAAAAC
rnacentral:rRNA from 1 species